GUUAUGAAGGAAAAGGAACUUCUGUGAAGAAAACUGUGCUGAUUUCUGUUGUCAUGAGAAUGGAAGUAUUUUAAGCCCUGCUGUAUGCAAUUUCCAGGUGAUGAAAGAAGCUGUGGAGAUGCGGUUAUGAUGAGGGAAAAGUGGCAAACAAGUAACUGGCAGAAUAUGGAGGACAAGAUGUUUUCUGCUCUGAAGUUGUCCAGAGGAGGAAAAGGAUGUUGGAGAGCUGGAUAUCCUUGGAGAUUUUGCUGCUACCAAGAACAAGAAUAUAUCGAUGCAACUGCUCUUCUUUCAAGGUGCUUUCUG